CAGCCCAAUGCCAUCCGCUACACACAAGGGGUUACACAGCCGUUUAGAGGAUAUUCCCUUCCAGAUACACAGGCAGCUACUGCAAGCACCAAUCUCCCGAACAGGAAACACACAAAUUCUCCAUCUCCCAAACUGGAAACACACGAAUUCUCCAACUCCAGAACUGGAACCAUACGAAUGCUGUAAACAGCCGAACAGGAAAAACCAUACGAAUAGCUUACACUCCUGGCAGUAGAACUGGAACAGCAUACAAUCCAAUCCCCCCAAGAACGAGACAUGGCUCCGUGUUGAG